AAGAGCUGCAUCUGCCGUAGCUCACGUGUCAGCGGACUUAUCAUGGAAAGUAUUUGAAAACGUUAUUAAUUGCUUCUUAGAUAAAAAAAUAUUUAAUACACUCUAAUAGUGGUUAUUAGUAUGGGGUGGAAUUGUACCAAGGAGAUUACAUAAAUCUGUCUUAGAUUAGCUUCACCCCUACGUUUUUCUGUUCAGUAAAUAUAGAUUAUUAUUGGAUUUGCUAUUAUAAUAACAAAUCUUAAUGGCAGCAGAAACACAGGCAAAAGGAAUUCUAGCUUGACUGCCAAACACCAACAGAAUAAACAGGAACAUGUUGGAGAAGUAGAGUCAGAAUGAACAUGAAAAAAAGCAAAAGGAAAUAAAAACAGAUUGGCCCCAGGGUGAUCCAGUAUACUUACACCCUGGUGAAUUAAUGCAUGUAAAUGUGCAGAUAACUGCAACAAUUGUGACUCUUGUAGGGGAAAACUAUUUCAACAGUGCUAGUACUUAGUUUUUCUGACUUCUUCCUCAAAGAUAAUUUUUGUAUUAAAUACAACUAUUCCAAUUAUGAUGUUUGGGAAAAGCCCCUGUGAAAAGAAAAAACACCUAUGCCAGUUACAAAGCUCUCCCGACAUCCGACAAAUAAAAAGGAAAAGGCUAAAGGAAAACUCUUCGUUCCUCUACUACCUUGGGGGACUAACUUCGGGGGAAAGUCGCUUCAUUUACAGAUUCGUGCAAGGCAGAAGGAAAUUCGUGACGAGAAUUCUCCGGUUGCGUCACGUGGAGAGUGAGACGAGAUCAAUCUUCCUUCCUGUGGUGGCUAUUGUUUUUGCUUUCGCAAUUGGCAUGUUUUAACACCAUUCAUAGAUGGCGUGGACGUAAUGGAUCCGUUUGUUAUUCAUAGAUGGCGUUGUAGGAACUGGAUACAUGUGCAGCAAAAGCUACAACAGUUACUGCUGGAAUAAACCUCAGGCGACGCAUUGGCAAAUGCUCCAAGUUUCUUCUACUAGAUGCCAACCUAAGUACAUGUGGGGCAGUUUCCCGUACGGCACUUGCUUCACAUGCAUCAUUUCACAUUUGUGUUUGCAAAUAUCUUAUAACCUUUGUUUACUUGGUUCAAGAUACCUGGCUGUGUUUCAGUUCGAAAAUUGAAGGGCAAUUCAAUAACCACAAUGUGUUCUGGAAUUGGUAUGAUGAAAUGCUGGUAUGAUAUUGCAGAUUUUUAUUCCAGAAUGACUAGAAUAACAAAAAAUUUUAAAUUGCGCAAUUAGAUGUUUAUGUGAUAUUUAUUUUCUUGUAUUUAAAGAGAUGUGGAGUAACAAAAACCAAUACUGUUGAUAGCUUAUUUGCCUUUUUGGAAGUGCUAACAAGCUCAUCUGCAAGGUGAGAAGAUAAGGUGUAUAAUGCAGAAGUACUGAUGGAUUUUUUAAGAAGGAAUGAUUCUGACCUUUGCUUUUCUGAUGGUAUAUGGCAUACUUCCAACAUUUUUGUCUCUCACUGGUAUCUGCUUACCCUUCAUCAAGACUGUAAUUUUACGUAAUGUUUUUACUCAUUUGUGUAAAUA